UACGUAGGGACCGAGCGUUGUCCGGAUUCAUUGGGCGUAAAGAGCUCGUAGGCGGCUGCUCAAGUCGAAUGUGAAACCUCGAGGCUUAACCUCGAGCCUGCAUUCGAUACUGGGCGGCUAGAGUCUGGUAGGGGAGUCUGGAAUUCCUGGUGUAGCGGUGAAAUGCGCAGAUAUCAGGAGGAACACCGGUGGCGAAGGCGGUGAUCUGGGCCGACACUGACGCUGUAGAGCGAAAGCGUGGGGAGCGAACAGG
rnacentral:rRNA from 1 species